rnacentral:rRNA from 1 species
AACGAACGCUGGCGGCAUGCCUAACACAUGCAAGUCGAACGAGACCUUCGGGUCUAGUGGCGCACGGGUGCGUAACGCGUGGGAAUCUACCCCUUGGGUUCGGAAUAACUCAGAGAAAUUUGAGCUAAUACCGGAUGAUGUCGCAAGACCAAAGAUUUAUCGCCCAAGGAUGAGCCCGCGUAGGAUUAGCUUGUUGGUGAGGUAAAAGCUCACCAAGGCGACGAUCCUUAGCUGGUCUGAGAGGAUGAUCAGCCACACUGGGACUGAGACACGGCCCAGACUCCUACGGGAGGCAGCAGUGGGGAAUAUUGGACAAUGGGCGAAAGCCUGAUCCAGCAAUGCCGCGUGAAUGAUGAAGGCCUUAGGGUUGUAAAGCUCUUUUACCCGGGAUGAUAAUGACAGUACCGGGAGAAUAAGCCCCGGCUAACUCCGUAGCCAGCAGCCGCGGUAA